rnacentral:rRNA from 1 species
UACGGGGGGGGCAAGCGUUGUUCGGAAUUACUGGGCGUAAAGGGCUCGUAGGCGCCAACUAAGUCAGACGUGAAAUCCCUCGGCUUAACCGGGGAACGGCCUCUGAUACUGGCUGGCUGGAGUUCGGGAGAGGGAUGCGGAAUUCCGGGUGUAGCGGUGGAAUGCGUAGAGAUCCGGAAGAACACCGGUGGCGAAGGCGGUGAGCUGGGCAGUAGCUGACACUGAGGCGCGACAGCGUGGGGAGCAACAGG